AUUUUUUUUUCAGCAAUUUGAAGAGGUGAAGCUGAAUGAGGUGAGAAUGGUGUGAUACAUCCAGCUGGAGCAAUGCGUUCAGGUGUGUCAGUUCAGGGACAGAAGGAAUUAUCUCCUGUCACACAAGACACCUAAAAAUGCCACAAACUCUUGGCUCUGUAACAGGUUUCUCCAUGGUUAUUGAAAAUUUUGUGCCUGGGAUUCAGAGAGAAUUGGUCAAGAACCACAUACAUACAUACAUUUCUAAUCCAGGAAUCCAGAAAAUAUAAUGAAAACUUGGCAGAACCUGAAUUCAGUAGGAAUCAUUCCUGCUCUCCACCACUUUGCUGAAAAUCCCAGCAAAGCAUAUAAGGAGGAUUUAUGUACAGACCUAUAUAUAUUUACGUGUGCAUUGAAAAGAAAUAAAAUAUUGGUUUGGGUUGA